GAUGAACGCUGGCGGCGUGCCUAAUACAUGCAAGUCGAGCGAACGGACGAGAAGCUUGCUUCUCUGAUGUUAGCGGCGGACGGGCGAGUAACACGUGGAUAACCUACCUAUAAGACUGGGAUAACUUCGGGAAACCGGAGCUAAUACCGGAUAAUAUUUUGAACCGCAUGGUUCAAAAGUGAAAGACGGUCUUGCUGUCACUUAUAGCUGGAUCCGCGCUGCAUUAGCUAGUUGGUAAGGUAACGCCUUACCAAGGCAACGAUGCAUAGCCGACCUGAGAGGGUGAUCGGCCACACUGGAACUGAGACACGGUCCAGACUCCUACGGGAGGCAGCAGUGGGGAAUCUUCCGCAAUGGGCGAAAGCCUGACGGAGCAACGCCGCGUGAGUGAUGAAGGUCUUCGGAUCGUAAAACUCUGUUAUUAGGGAAGAACAUAUGUGGAAGUAUCUGUGCACAUCUUGACGGUACCUAAUCAGAAAGCCGCGGCUAACUACGUG
rnacentral:rRNA from 1 species